CCAUUGAGAUUCCAAAAGUAGAAUAAAUGAAUAGUUUAAGACAUUGCUGCUGUGCCUGUGCAUACAUAUUACAAUGGUCUUGGAUAAGGUUGUCUCCACCAUUUCCAACCCUCUAAAUAGUAAGAGUAAAUAAAUGUAAACAACCUGCAAUUAAUAAAUAUACUAUGUAUGGCAAAUGACAUAAUCUACAAUAUGGGACAAGUAUACUGAAGGGUACUCCAAUAAAUAAAUUUGAUAACUAAAUAUAGAACCUUUAUCCUAUUCUUGCAGACGCAAGACCCGUUACCUGAUUACAUAAACAAUAUUAAAAAUGCCUAAGAGAACUUACGACUGAACAAUAAAUGGUUUUACCUUGAGUAGCUUAUCAAAAUGCCUAUGAGAGUUUACGGUGGGAUCUUCAAAUUUCCUAUCACCAUAGUAGAUGUCUUUGAUUUGCAAUUGAAUAUCUUAAAUGUCAACAAAGAGGAUCAGAUUGCAGAAGUCACUGUCUAACUACUAAGCAAUAGCUUACCGAAUUGAACAACUCUUGUGGUUGGCUUGAGUUUUGACUUCACUAUUUGUGAGUCAAUCAACAAUUUAAAUAUUUCAAAGCUUAUUUAUUAUUAUUUAAGUUAACAAACACUUAGAUAUCAAUAUAUGGGUAUGUAGAGGGUAGACUAUCAGUCAGUAUUUGAAUAAGCAGUUUACAUCUAAUGGAUAAAAGGUUCUCAAUCCAGCCAAGUCAUAGCAGAUUUUGGUGACUUCAGAAAAACAAUAAAAGCAAAAGGUGAGACUCAAAGUUGAGAAGAAGACUAUAAAAAGAUCCAAGGCUUGUGGUAAGAUUUUAAAUUAACCACUAUAAAAAGUUUAACGCAUGAAUCUGUAAAAAGAAACAAAAAAGAGUUCAACUUCAAACCUAUCAUACUCGUUAUGUCAAAGCAAAUUCAAAAUUCUCAAUUCUUCCAUUGACUAGAUAAUAUUUCUAGAAAUAAAUAGCAAUUAGCCAUGCUUAACUCAAUCAUGAAUUUUUUUUUUUACAGCAAUGAAAGGUGAUCAUCUCACAGUUGUUAGGCCUUCUAAAGGCAAUCCAAGUUUAGACCUUCUAUUUAACUAUAAAGACAUAAAACAAAAAUGGAGCUGCUGAAACAUUCAUGAGUGGGAAAGUGCAAAAGGUGACGAGGGGAAAGGUUUAAUUUGGAACAAAUAUAAAAUCUCCACUUUGAGGACUUUUAUUUUCACGUUCAGCCCUAGAUCCUCAUGCAAAUGGACUACCCAUUGAUGUGUUACUGUUUAUAAUGAAUAAACAAAAAUCCCCAUUCUUCUAACUUUUGAGACUCAACUUAGCUGAACAAAAGUUUAAAAAAUGAAUUUUCCUGCUGAAAGGAAUUUGGAAAAUGAUACACGGACAACAAAUGAAGCUCGUUUAAAAGAAAUUAGUAUGCUGAUUAAUAUCGACAAAACAAGUAAUGCCAAUACUAC
rnacentral:lncRNA from 1 species